GACGGGACCGCACAGCGGUGGAUGAUGUGGUUUAAUUCGAUGCAACGCGAAAACCUUACCCACCUUUGACAUGUACGGAAUCCUUUAGAGAUAGAGGAGUGCUCGAAAGAGAGCCGUAACACAGGUGCUGCAUGGCUGUCGUCAGCUCGUGUCGUGAGAUGUUGGGUUAAGUCCCGCAACGAGCGCAACCCUUGUCAUUAGUUGCUACAUUCAGUUGGGCACUCUAAUGAGACUGCCGGUGACAAACCGGAGGAAGGUGGGGAUGACGUCAAGUCCUCAUGGCCCUUAUAGGUGGGGCUACACACGUCAUACAAUGGAUGGUACAAAGGGUCGCCAACCCGCGAGGGGGAGCCAAUCCCAUAAAGCCAUUCGUAGUCCGGAUCGCAGUCUGCAACUCGACUGCGUGAAGUCGGAAUCGCUAGUAAUCGUGGAUCAGAAUGUCACGGUGAAUACGUUCCCGGGUCUU
rnacentral:rRNA from 1 species